UAGGGAGGGGGUUAGCGUUGUUCGGAAUUACUGGGCGUAAAGCGCGCGUAGGCGGAUCAGAAAGUUGGGGGUGAAAUCCCGGGGCUCAACCCCGGAACUGCCUCCAAAACUCCUGGUCUUGAGUUCGAGAGAGGUGAGUGGAAUUCCGAGUGUAGAGGUGAAAUUCGUAGAUAUUCGGAGGAACACCAGUGGCGAAGGCGGCUCACUGGCUCGAUACUGACGCUGAGGUGCGAAAGUGUGGGGAGCAAACAGG
rnacentral:rRNA from 1 species